UACGGUUGUGUGAUCAGGUUUCUCCAGUUGUGGUCGUUAUUAUAAUAUAUAUCAAGGUAAACGAGCAAAACGAACACAUCUAAUAAAAUGUUGAUGUCAGUUGCAGUUAUGUUGUUUAUAAGCCUGUUGAAAGGGGAUUUAGUUAAUGGAUGUCCUUCAUCUUGUUCAUGUACUGGUACACUAAUUGAUUGUUCCGGAAGGAGUUUUGAUGAAAUACCGCAUACAGAUAUUUCUUCAACUACAACAAUUUUAAGUCUUCGUAGAAAUAACUUAACAACAGUAAGAACAAAUGCGCUUUCUGGUUUAACAUCCCUUAU